rnacentral:rRNA from 1 species
AGUGAACGCUGGCGGUAGGCCUAACACAUGCAAGUCGAACGGCAGCACAGUAAGAGCUUGCUCUUACGGGUGGCGAGUGGCGGACGGGUGAGGAAUACAUCGGAAUCUACUUUUUCGUGGGGGAUAGCGUAGGGAAACUUACGCUAAUACCGCAUACGACCUACGGGUGAAAGCAGGGGAUCUUCGGACCUUGCGCGAUUGAAUGAGCCGAUGUCGGAUUAGCUAGUUGGCGGGGUAAAGGCCCACCAAGGCGACGAUCCGUAGCUGGUCUGAGAGGAUGAUCAGCCACACUGGAACUGAGACACGGUCCAGACUCCUACGGGAGGCAGCAGUGGGGAAUAUUGGACAAUGGGCGCAAGCCUGAUCCAGCCAUACCGCGUGGGUGAAGAGGGCCUUCGGGUUGUAAAGCCCUUUUGUUGGGAAAGAAAAGCAGCAGGUUAAUACCCCGCUGUUCUGACGGUACCCAAAGAAUAAGCACCGGCUAACUUCGUG